ACACAAUCACACAAGUAACAGACCCAUCCUUUCCACUCACAAUUCCACUCAUUUUAACACAUACCCUCACAUACGGAGAAACACACACGGAGGGAGAUAAUCCCGAUAAUCCUCCACUUUGAUUGACAAGAAAAUACAUACACACAAAAAUAAUGAGAAACGAGAUAGAGGAAAGAGAGAUAAACGGAGGGAGAUAGAAAAACCGGCAAGGGAAAAAUAGAGAGAAGGGAGGGACGUGACAGAGAGAGGAGGGAUCGAGAGAGAAGUAAAAAAAGGGAGGGAGUGCACGGAGAGAGAGAAGCAGACAAAUUUGAUGGUUGUCGGUAAGUUUCUCGUCGGAAAUCUGCUGGAUUCACCACCGGUAAACACUGCCGUCACCGUCCAUUGUUGUUCCGGCAAGACCCACCGGCAGACGGUCCCGUUUCCUUCCCAAAAUGUAUCCGGAUUCGGGUUGGUGAUUGUAUUUUGCUUGAAUUUCGGGUAUCAUUGUCUCGUGAUUCAUUUUUUCUUCGUGGGUUUGCGUUCAAAUCUGUUUGGGUGGCAUCUUUUUAGAUAUCGAGUUGGUCUAAUUCGUUGUUUGAGGUUCUUCAUUCGAGGAUUUUGAGUUCAGAUUUUAUUAUCGCACUAUUAUCAAUGAAAUCCGUUCUUGUGAGGUCCAAUUCUCAACUCUCCUCGUUUUUUACUAUCUCAACGUGGUUGAUGAUGUGAUUAGUGGUGUGUUUGAAGUGUAUUUGAGCUUUUAUAAUUAUUAUGACUUGAUUGAUCGAUUUCAUCUCGAAAUUAGUUAAUCAUUGAUUAAGAAUGGAAAUUGGGGAGGGAUUGAUCAUGAAAACAUGAAUGUGGAUAUAUUUGAUUUAUUUUUGAUAGUUUGGAUCGCAAUGAGUGUUGAUGUUUGUCGAACCCGAUAGUAUCAUGUUUUAGGACGAAAUAAAUAGGCAAAUCUUAGUUGGGUAGGCAGACGGUAGGAAUCAUAUUGUUGGGUGAUUGAAUGUUUGUUGAAUAAUUUUGUUGCACAGAGUUGAAAUUAUAUUCAUUUUCACUGGGGAAUACCUCGAUGAAAUUGUAUUUAUUUACCGGGGGAAUGUCCCAAGGUAUUAUGUACGCGAAGGAUGUUCGUGAUCAAAACCUGGAACACCGGGUAGAGCUUAGUCUAGGACUAAUUUAGAAUAGAAUUUACAUUUUUUGCAUUUUUCUAUUUUUUGGGUUGUAUAAUUUGAACUGUACAUUAUGUUGUUUUGAAUUUCUGUUUGGUUUUGUUUGUUUAUUUGUUUUGUCGGUUUAUACACUUCAUAAGGUCGUACUAGCCGAUAUAUUUAACGAAGCGAUCGUGGUCAAACCACGGGAUCAAGGAGUGCCUAACACCUUCUCCUUGAUCAAUAAAAUUCCUUAACUAGAAUCUCAAUUCAUGGACCAGUUCUGAGAGUCGAGUCAUUUUGAAAAAGGAUUUUUCAAAGGUAACUUGGCACACUCAAUUUAUGCCAAGUGGUGAAUCUGAGUCUAAUUGUAAAAAGUUCUUUUCGAAAUAAAAUUUUCAUCUUUUGUCACUUAAUAAUAAAAAUUCUUUCAAACUUAAAAUUAAUCUUUUUGAAAAAAAAAGGGUGUGACAGUUUGGCGACUCAGGUCAAUUUGCAUUGACUUGACCCAGAAUCUCUUCUCAAACUCGACGCAACCAGUUUCAGAUAUUAUCGAUUUGGCCUCCGAUUGUAUUGGCUUAGUUUAGCCCUAUAGGUGUAUAAACAUUUUGUGUGUAUUGUCCUAUGUUUUAUUAUUUUAUCAUUGGUGUGCACUUACAUGUUACGUAUUUACGGUAUUUUUUUUAUGUGUUACCAUUUCAUAUCUGGCAUCAUAUGCAUUACCCCGAGUCAAUUCUUUCGCAACAAGUCCAAAGUACACAUCAUGUACAUGAACUCUAAUUCAGUCACCCUUAUUUUAGGAGGGAGAUCCAUCGGAUGUAUGGAGUAGGUGGAAAGCAAUCGCAACCACAAUCGGCCAUAUGCUCCCCUGAAUAGCCUUAUUAGUGGACCUUAGCCUAGGUCAGCCUUUAGAUCAUGCUUAUCUGCAUCAUAUUGAGAUCUAGCGGGGUCCACUUGGUCCUUUGUAGGAGACUCACCCUUGAAGCAUCCCUACGUACUAAUUGUUGUAUCUUUGAGGAUAAUAGGGUCAUUUGACGGACUAAUUUAGGGAAAAGCAUGUGCUAUAAUUAAAGGGAAGUGUGUAGGUAACGAAAGAUUGAAAAAGAAGAAGAGAAAAGUGAGGAAAAAAAGGGAGUUUCAUUUUUUUUUUUUAGAGUUCUUUAUGACUUUUGUUUUUCCAAUUAAAAAAAAUCAUCAUAAUUUUUUUUUGUUUCUUUAGUAUGAAUUCAUAAUACGAAAAUUUCAAAAAAAAAAAAUUAGAAGCUUUUUAUAAAAUAAAAUUCAAAAAAUGAUAGAAGUUUUGUACAUUUUGUAUAAUGAAAAUAUCAAAAAAAAUUGUUCUUUCAUAGUUUUUGGUGUCAUUUUUAUGUGACGUGUCAAAUUAAAAAAAAAAAAUGAAAAAAUUGUUGAUAUUUUCAUCGUCUGUAGUUGGCCGUGUCUCUCAAUUCAAGAUUUAGUUUGUUAUUUAAUCCUUAAUUGUUCAAUCUGGACGAACUGUACUCACCUGAUUCUCCUUUCACAGGAGUGAGUACGUAGGCAGCCCUUCUAGGGUUGGGUGAUCUUAUUUAAAAAAUUUAAAAAGAUUUUCUCCACUCUUUAUUAGAGUAGGUAUCAUAUAUAUCUCGAAAAGAAAACCACAAAAAGAUUUUCCUUUAAUAGUUUCAAGUUUCAUUUUCAUAUGAAAUUUAAAAUUGAAAAUCCAAAAAGACUUUUCUUUGGUAAUCAGAGGUUUCAUCUUGUAUAGGAAUCUGAAAAAUUUUAAAAUCACACUUCAUUUAGAGUAGGUGUCACAUACAUCUCUAAAAGAAAACCACAAAAAAAUUUUCUUAAUAGUUUCAAAUUUUAUUUUCGUAUGAAAUUUAAAAUUGAAAACCCGUAAAGGGCUUUCUUUGGUAAUCAUAGAUUUCAUUUUGGAUAGGAAUCUGAAAAAUUCAAAAAGAUUUUCUUCACUCUUAAUUUAGAGUAGGUGUCAUAUACAUCUCUAAAAAAAAUCACAAAAAGAUUUUCAUCAAUUCUUUUGACAAUUUGUUAUUUUCUUUUCUUCUAAAAGUUUCAAGGAAAAGAAAAAGAAAGAGAGUUGAUCAGUCAUUUUUUCACCAAACUUCACGAACAACGCUCCCCUAAAUCUCCUCCUUUGGGAGUGAGAUACGUAGGCUCCUUUCUUGGGUUUGGUGAUCUUUUCAAAAGAAAAAAAGAUUUUGAGAAAGUGUUGAAUUCUAACGCAUUUGUUAUCUCUUGUUCAGUUAGUUUAAGGUGGUCGGUUUGUGGCUGGUCCUCCACAUCACACCAAGCCUAAGGAAGAUUUAGUCAUGUCCAACAAGGAUAUAGAGAGUGACAUCAUGGAUCAGACAAAGAGUCAGAAAAAUAAGAAUUUAAAGCAAGAGAUUGUGAGACUAAAACAACAAAUGAUAGAAAUACACCGAGCUUGGGCUAGUGGGUUGCAUCUUUCCGCAUUCCC
rnacentral:lncRNA from 1 species